UUUCCUUGAACCUCCUAAAAUGUUAGCCAUGCCCUUGCAGGUAUAUAAGGGCAGGGCAUUGCCGGCCAGUCAGUGAGAUAUAAGAACGAAGUGAAGUGAGAACCCAGCUGCAAUAUUGUGAACCUGUUUUAUUGUGUAAUUGUGGAUAAAUCAGUGUGAGUGCAGCGAGGCAAGAGGGCUGGUGUGAAAGAGACGAGAUACUGAUAGGACGUGAGGAGCAGCAGUAAAGCUUUACCGACACAAAGGCAAGACAACAAACAAGUAGCUCAGAGGAAUCAUCAUCUCCCACACUGGCCCAGUGAUGCCACUGACUACAGCACAAAGGGAGAGACAAAAAGGAAGUGCAAAAAGCCUGCACUGUUCAGCAAGGAAAAGGAGUCAGCAGCUCCUUUGACAGGCAGCUAGGAAGAAGUAGGACACCGACUCAUCUUGCACACUUCUGUAGGUGCCUCUGUAUGGAUUAAGAUGCUUAACUCUAGGCACUCCAGUUUGAAAAGCCUACCCAUUAUGGUUAGACGAUGUGAGCUGAUGGGAUAGCCUAUUGCUAUAGGCCCAAGGUGGAUGCAAGUGGCUAGUGCCGAGGGAAGAGUUCUGAAUAAGACAUUCCAAUAAUGUAGAAUUUAUGGCAUGAGUGAAAGAGAUGAAAAAAUCUGCCUUUCAGCUGCUUCCAUCUCCAACACUGCUUGUGAUUUGCUAAUCUAGCCUUCAACAAGCACUCUGGUGUCCAAUAAAAUCUGUUUAAUAUCUUAGGUUGGGGAAGGGGAGUGGAGUUUACAGGAUGUUUC